rnacentral:rRNA from 1 species
AGAGUUUGAUCCUGGCUCAGGAUAAACGCUGGCGGCGUGCCUAACACAUGCAAGUCGAACGUCCUGUGGCCCUUCGGGACCACAGGGAGUGGCGGACGGGUGAGUAACACAUGGGUACCUGCCUCCCAGUGAGGAAUACCUUCGGGAAACCGGGGACAAGACCGCAUAGCCUCCCGUGAGGGAGGAAAGCCUUUUUUCGG